rnacentral:rRNA from 1 species
GAUGAACGCUGGCGGCGUGCUUAACACAUGCAAGUCGAACGGAAAGGCUCCUGCUUGCAGGGGUACUCGAUUGGCGAACGGGUGAGUAACACGUGGGUGAUCUGCCCUUCACUUCGGGAUAAGCCUGGGAAACUGGGUCUAAUACCGGAUAGGACGAUGGUUUGGAUGCCAUUGUGGAAAGUUUUUUCGGUGUGGGAUGAGCUCGCGGCCUAUCCGCUUGUUGGUGGGGUAAUGGCCUACCAAGGCGUCGACGGGUAGCCGGCCUGAGAGGGUGUACGGCCACAAUGGGACUGAGGUACGGACCAGACUGCAACGGGAGGCAGAAGUGGAGAAUAUUGCACAAUGGGCGCAAGCCUGAUGCAGCGACGCCGCGUGGGGGAUGACGGCCUUCGGGUUGUAAACACCUUUCGCUAGGGACGAAGAGCAAGUGACGGUACCUGGAGAAGAAGCACCGGCUAACUACGUG